CUGGUGCCUGCAGGCUAGGCCUGCAGGUCACGUCAGGCAGAUGAGGCUUACUGCUGCCUUAGGCAGUGUACCGCUAUCCACCUUGGGCAACGUAUCACCGCUUGAGGUGCUGCAACCGGUAGAGGAGGUUUUUUCCUCUAUUUGUUGUGCUACGUCAAAUUAAGCAUCUUCUAUUUUUCAAUACUCUCUUUUCAUCGGAUUUUUCCACUUGGCACUAAUCCAACAACCCCUGUUUUUUAUAAAUAAGGGCCCUCCCUCCUAUUUUCUCUUCACUUCCAUUCUUUCACCUUUUAAAAGUUAGAGAGAGAAAGAGAGUGAUCUAGAGAG
rnacentral:lncRNA from 1 species